rnacentral:misc_RNA from 1 species
AGAUGAAGAACGUAGCGAAAUGCGAUAAGUAAUGCGAAUUGCAGAAUUUCCGUGAGUCAUCGAAUCUUUGAACGCACAUUGCGCCCUUUGGUAUUCCGAAGGGCAUGCCUGUUCGAGCGUCAUUAUCACAGCUCAAACCUCGGGUUUGGUGUUGGACCAACGUUGGGUCAACCAACUGGUCUCAAAGACAAUGACGGCGUCCGUGGGACCCUCAGUGCAUCGAGCUUGCAUAAGCACGCAUUGAGUUGCAAGGUCCUUCCGGGCCGGUCUACUUUUACAUUUUCUGAAAGUUGACCUCGGAUCAGGUAGGAAUACCCGCUGAACUUAAGCAUAUCAAUAAGCGGAGGA